GAUGAACGCUAGCGGCAGGCUUAACACAUGCAAGUCGAGGGGCAGCGAGAUUGUUAGCAAUAACGAUUGUCGGCGACCGGCGCAAGGGUGCGUAACGCGUGAGCAACUUGCCCGUUUCUGGGGAAUAACCGUUGGAAACGACGACUAAUACCCCAUAGUAUCCGAUUGAGGCAUCUCUUUGGGAUUUAAAGACUUAUCGGUAACGGAUGGGGAUGCGUGACAUUAGAUAGUAGGCGGGGUAACGGCCCACCUAGUCUACGAUGUCUAGGGGUUCUGAGAGGAAGGUCCCCCACACUGGAACUGAGACACGGUCCAGACUCCUACGGGAGGCAGCAGUGAGGAAUAUUGGUCAAUGGUCGGAAGACUGAACCAGCCAAGUAGCGUGAAGGAUGAAGGUUCUAUGGAUUGUAAACUUCUUUUAUACGGGAAUAAAACCUCCCACGUGUGGGAGCUUGUAUGUACCGUAUGAAUAAGCAUCGGCUAACUCCGUG
rnacentral:rRNA from 1 species